rnacentral:rRNA from 1 species
UACGUAGGGGGCUAGCGUUGUCCGGAUUUAUUGGGCGUAAAGAGCGUGUAGGCGGCCAGGUAGGUCUGCUGUGAAAACUCGAGGCUCAACCUCGAGACGUCGGCGGAAACCAUCUGGCUAGAGUCCGGAAGAGGAGAGUGGAAUUCCUGGUGUAGCGGUGAAAUGCGUAGAUAUCAGGAGGAACACCUGUGGUGUAGACGGCUCUCUGGACAGUAACUGACGCUGAGACACGAAAGCGUGGGUAGCAAACAGG